UACGGAGGGGGCUAGCGUUGUUCGGAAUUACUGGGCGUAAAGCGUGCGCAGGCGGUCUGUUAAGACCGAUGUGAAAUCCCCGGGCUUAACCUGGGAACUGCAUUUGUGACUGCACGGCUGGAGUGCGGCAGAGGGGGAUGGAAUUCCGCGUGUAGCAGUGAAAUGCGUAGAUAUGCGGAGGAACACCGAUGGCGAAGGCAAUCCCCUGGGCUGACACUGACGCUCAUGCACGAAAGCGUGGGGAGCAAACAGG
rnacentral:rRNA from 1 species